rnacentral:tRNA from 1 species
UAAGUUUUAAUUUAAGUUAAAAUGAUUGAUUGUUAAUCAAGAUAUACUUUGUGGGUAAACUUAG